UACGGAGGGGGCGAGCGUUGUCCGAAGUUACUGGGCGUAAAGCGCGUGUAGGCGGGUUGCCAAGUCCGCUGUGAAAGCCCGAGGCUCAACCUCGGAGGGUCGGUGGAUACUGGCAGUCUUGAAGGUGCUAGGGGGAGAUGGAAUUACCGGUGUAGCGGUGAAAUGCGUAGAGAUCGGUAGGAACACCAGUGGCGAAGGCGGUCUCCUGGGGCAUUCUUGACGCUGAGACGCGAAAGCCAGGGGAGCGAACGGG
rnacentral:rRNA from 1 species